CGCCUUUGGUCGCAAAUCCACACACACCUGUGCAUCUAUGACUCGAGGUUGUAAUGACUGAGAGUAACUUUUAUACACUCUUGUAUGUAAUGGAAUGUCUUUUUGUGCUAUAAUGUACAAUAUAAACAACUUUCAACAACGGAUCUCUUGGCUCUCGCAUCGAUGAAGAACGCAGCGAAAUGCGAUAAGUAAUGUGAAUUGCAGAAUUCAGUGAAUCAUCGAAUCUUUGAACGCACCUUGCACCCUUUGGUAUUCCGAAGGGUACGCCCGUUUGAGUGUCAUUGUAAUCUCACUUCUACAACUUUAUUGUUGUUUGAAUGUGGACUUGGAUGUUGCCGUUUUAUCACGGCUCGUCUUAAAUGCCUGAGUGUACCCUGUUUUGCAGCGUAUCCAGUGUAAUAAACAUUUCACUAGAGUUGGUUGAAAGACCACGUUGACUAUAUGGGCUCUAUGCUUCAAACCGUCUGCCAUGUGGACAAUUUCUUGACAAUUUGACCUCAAAUCGGGUGGGACUACCCGCUGAACUUAAGCAUAUCAAUAAGCGGAGGAAAAGAAACUAACAAGGAUUCCCCUAGUAACGGCGAGUGAAGAGGGAAAAGCUCAAAUUUUAAAUCUGGGUGUCUUUUGACUCCCGAGUUGUAAUCUAGAGAAGUGUUUUCCGUGUCGGACCGUGUACAAGUUCCCUGGAACGGGGCGUCAUAGAGGGUGAGAAUCCCGUAUAUGCCACGGACUACCGAUGCUCUGUGAUACACUCUCAACGAGUCGAGUUGUUUGGGAAUGCAGCUCAAAAUGGGUGGUAAAUUCCAUCUAAAGCUAAAUAUUGGCGAGAGACCGAUAGCGAACAAGUACCGUGAGGGAAAGAUGAAAAGCACUUUGGAAAGAGAGUGAAACAGUACGUGAAAUUGUUGAAAGGGAAGCGUUUGAAGUCAGUCGCAUCUGUUGGGGUUCAGCCUGGCUUUUGCCUGGUGUAUUUCCUUUCCGAUGGGUCAGCAUCAGUUUCGACCGAGGGAAAAAGACAUUUGGAAUGUGGCUGUCUUCGGGCAGUGUUAUAGCCUUGUGUUGUAUGUCUCGGUUGGGACUGAGGAUUGCAGCGCGCCAUAAAUGGCCGGGGGUCGCUCCUCUCGACACGCGCUUAGGAUGCUGGCAUAAUGGCUUUAAGCGACCCGUCUUGAAACACGGACCAAGGAGUCUAACAUGUGCGCGAGUGUUUGGGUGUAAAACCCGAGCGCGUAAUGAAAGUGAAAGGUCGGGAUCAUUCAUUUGUGCACCGACGCCCGGAGCUGACCUUCUGUGACGCAUCCGCGGUAGA
rnacentral:rRNA from 1 species